rnacentral:rRNA from 1 species
ACGUACAAGCAGUGGGAGCAUGCUUAGGCGUGUGACUGCGUACCUUUUGUAUAAUGGGUCAGCGACUUAUAUUCUGUAGCAAGGUUAACCGAAUAGGGGAGCCGAAGGGAAACCGAGUCUUAACUGGGCGUUAAGUUGCAGGGUAUAGACCCGAAACCCGGUGAUCUAGCCAUGGGCAGGUUGAAGGUUGGGUAACACUAACUGGAGGACCGAACCGACUAAUGUUGAAAAAUUAGCGGAUGACUUGUGGCUGGGGGUGAAAGGCCAAUCAAACCGGGAGAUAGCUGGUUCUCCCCGAAAGCUAUUUAGGUAGCGCCUCGUGAACUCAUCUCCGGGGGUAGAGCACUGUUUCGGCAAGGGGGUCAUCCCGACUUACCAACCCGAUGCAAACUGCGAAUACCGGAGAAUGUUAUCACGGGAGACACACGGCGGGUGCUAACGUCCGUCGUGAAGAGGGAAACAACCCAGACCGCCAGCUAAGGUCCCAAAGUCAUGGUUAAGUGGGAAACGAUGUGGGAAGGCCCAGACAGCCAGGAUGUUGGCUUAGAAGCAGCCAUCAUUUAAAGAAAGCGUAAUAGCUCACUGGUCGAGUCGGCCUGCGCGGAAGAUGUAACGGGGCUAAACCAUGCACCGAAGCUGCGGCAGCGACGCUUAUGCGUUGUUGGGUAGGGGAGCGUUCUGUAAGCCUGUGAAGGUGUACUGUGAGGUAUGCUGGAGGUAUCAGAAGUGCGAAUGCUGACAUAAGUAACGAUAAAGCGGGUGAAAAGCCCGCUCGCCGGAAGACCAAGGGUUCCUGUCCAACGUUAAUCGGGGCAGGGUGAGUCGACCCCUAAGGCGAGGCCGAAAGGCGUAGUCGAUGGGAAACAGGUUAAUAUUCCUGUACUUGGUGUUACUGCGAAGGGGGGGACGGAGAAGGCUAUGUUGGCCGGGCGACGGUUGUCCCGGUUUAAGCGUGUAGGCUGGUUUUCCAGGCAAAUCCGGAAAAUCAAGGCUGAGGCGUGAUGACGAGGCACUACGGUGCUGAAGCAACAAAUGCCCUGCUUCCAGGAAAAGCCUCUAAGCAUCAGGUAACAUCAAAUCGUACCCCAAACCGACACAGGUGGUCAGGUAGAGAAUACCAAGGCGCUUGAGAGAACUCGGGUGAAGGAACUAGGCAAAAUGGUGCCGUAACUUCGGGAGAAGGCACGCUGAUAUGUAGGUGAAG